rnacentral:RNase_P_RNA from 1 species
CGAGUUGGCCGGGCGGCCGCGGCACAGGGAACCAGCACGUGAGUGCACAGGCCCCGAGUCGAGGAAAGUCCGGACUCCACAGAGCAGGGCGGUUGUUAACGGCAACCCGAGGUGACUCGCGGGACAGUGCCACAGAAAAACAGACCGCCGGCGCCACACCCUUCGGGGGUGAGGCGUCGGUCAGGGUGAAACGGUGCGGUAAGAGCGCACCAGCACCCCGGGUGACCGGGGUGGCUAGGUAAACCCCGCCCGGAGCAAGGUUGAAGGCCGCAUCGGAUCCUCAGGGAUCCCGGUGCGGCUGCGCAGGUGUUCGAGGGCUGCUCGCCCGAGCCUGCGGGUGAACCGCUCGAGGUACCCGGCGACGGUGUAUCCAGAUGGAUGGUCGCCACCCGGCGCUUCGGCGCCCGGGGACAGGAUCCGGCUUACACGCCAACUCGUCCG